AUGCUUUCAAUUGCGGCGGUAGGUGAUCGUUAUGGACUUUCAGAUCAUGCAUUAGCUGCUGUCUCUAGUGCGACAUUAGAGGGCGAUCAGACGAUUUCAAAAUCUGAUCUUUCCAAAGUUAUCGAUAAAAAUAAAGUGCGAAGAGCUCGGAAAAAAGCUCGUUUUGAUUUAGUGAAAGAAGCAAAAGCUGAGAACCAAAAUGUGAAAUGUCUAUUUUUUGAUGAGCGAAAAGAUCGUGCAACCGUGAAAGAGAAGAUAGGCAAAAAGACACAUCGAAGAACAGUUCAAGAAGAGCACAUUUCUUUAAUUGAAGAACCUAACUCUAGAUAUGUCGGGCACGCCACGCCAAAAUCAUCAUCGGCGGUUGAUAUUAAGGACUCAAUCGUGACUGUUAUGGAAGAGUAUAAUGUGAAGUCCGAUAACUUUGUUGGAAUUGGAUGCGACGGUACAAAUGUGAACACCGGAAUCCAUGGUGGUGUUAUAAGGUUGUUUGAGAAAUAUAUCUUGCGCCCUUUACAAUGGCUCAUAUGUUUGCUCCACUUUAAUGAGUUACCACUCCGACAUGUCAUUGAAAAUGUAGAUGGAAAGUACUCGGGACCCUCAGACUUCUCAGGGCCAAUUGGUAAACAGCUGCUUCACUGUCAUCAGCAUCCAGUGGUGCAGUUUGAACCGGUGGAAUCAGAAUUUUUUCCAGAAGUGGACACCAAAGAUUUAAGCACGGAUCAAAAAUAUCUAUUGGAGAUGAGCAGAGCUGUUGCUAGUGGAUACUGUUCUGAUGAGCUUUCCAACAGAGAUCCAGGAAACAUCACCCAUGCGCGAUGGUUGACAACUGCAAACAGAAUUCUAAGACUCUAUGUUGCCACGGAAAAUCCAUCGGAAAAUUUGAUUACGAUAGUCUGUUUUAUAAUGAAAGUGUAUGCGCCGAUGUGGUUUUUGAUAAAAAUGAACCCGUCUUGCAUCAAUGGUUCGAAACACCUGUUUAAAGCAAUUACAUUGAUCCGAAACUGCUCAGAAAAGAUACCAAGUAUUUUUCUACCAGUCAUACAGCGCAAUGCAUUUUUUGCGAAUCCCAAAAGCAUUUUACUUUCUAUGAUGAACGAUCCAUCAGUGAAAAUCAAACGUGAAGGAUUAAAAAAAAUUUUGAAGGCCCGUCAAAACGGAAGUUCUGAUGUUAGAAAAUUCACAAUACCUGAGGUUAAUUUUAACGCUAAAACGUAUUGUGACGUCAUUAAUUGGGAAACCACACAAGUCACCCCACCACCAAUACUCCAGUUCAUCUCUAACGAAGAUCUCAAGUCAUUUGUGAAUUCUGGAAAAACUAUUGACAUUGACCUCAAAAAGCACCAUGCCACACGCAAAGUGUCGAGAGGUGUGUUUAGCUGGUGA
rnacentral:lncRNA from 1 species